GAUGAACGCUAGCGGCAGGCCUAAUACAUGCAAGUCAAGGGGAUAGCAAUAUCACCGGCGGACGGGUGCGUAACGCGUACACAACGUGCCCAAGGGCGGAGGAAAGCGGGCGGGAAACUGCCGGUAAUACUCCAUGGUGUUGUUGAGUGGCAUCACUUAACAACUAAAGUACAAGCGCCCUUGGAUCGGUGUGCGUUCGAUUAGCUAGUUGGCGGGUAACGCCCACCAAGGCUUCGAUCGAUAGGGGGUGUGAGAGCAUGACCCCCCCANACGGGUACUGAGACACGGACCCGACUCCUACGGGAGGCAGCAGUAAGGAAUAUUGGACAAGUGGGCGGAAGCCUGAUCCAGCCAUGCCGCGUGAAGGACGAAGGCGCUCAGCGUUGUAAACUUCUUUUGGAUGGGAACAAUAACUCCG
rnacentral:rRNA from 1 species